ACUCAUAAAGAAUUAGAUGUGUUUCUUAGCAUUUUGGAGGCUGGGAAACCCAAUACAACGAGGCUGGCAUCUUAUGAGGGUUUCUAGGCUAUGGUCUCCCCCUGCCACCCCUGCCCCAGAGAAAACCAAAGGGCAAGAAACAUAACAGAGCCUUUGCAGGCACAGCCAGGGAUGUGCUUUUCUACCAGCCUGCAUGCUUCCCAAUCCUAUCAAGUUCUCGACCAAGGUGAACUACCACAGUGAACUUCUAAUUCCUGACCGUGAGAUCAAGACCGUCGUGAAAGGUCUACUCUGAAUGAACACUGAUGCCCAGGGAGAAGGAGGAUCUGAAUACAGCGCGGUAGAUAUGAGAAGAGAAAGAAGACGCUGCUGAAGAAAAGUGACAUGUUUAUUUCUCUGCCAUGCAGUGAUGUCGUUGAAAGGAAAUACAUGACUUUAUGCCGCCAUUGUCUUAGUUAGGGUUACUAUGGCUGGGCUGAAACACUACGGACAAAGCAACCUGGGCAGGAAGGCUUUAUUAGGCUUAUAAUUUCUCCUCACAGUUCUUCACUGAGGGAAGUCAGGACAGGAACCUGCUGGCAGGAGCUGAUGCAGAAGCCAUGGAGGGGUCCUGCUUGCUGGCUUGCUCCUUGUGGCUUGUUCAUCGUGAUUUCUUAUAAAAUCCAGACCCACUAGCUCAGGGACGGUAGCACCCACAAUGGUCUGGGCCCUCCCACAUCAACCACUAAUCAAUAAAAUGCCCUACAGGCUUGUCUACAGCCCCA